rnacentral:rRNA from 1 species
UACGUAGGGUGCGAGCGUUAAUCGGAAUUACUGGGCGUAAAGCGUGCGCAGGCGGAUGUUUAAGACAGGUGUGAAAUCCCCGGGCUUAACCUGGGAAUGGCGCUUGUAACUGGACAUCUAGAGUACGUCAGAGGGGGGUGGAAUUCCACGUGUAGCAGUGAAAUGCGUAGAGAUGUGGAGGAACACCGAUGGCGAAGGCAGCCCCCUGGGAUGAUACUGACGCUCAGGCACGAAAGCGUGGGGAGCAAACAGG